AAAUUGAAGAGUUUGAUCAUGGCUCAGAUUGAACGCUGGCGGCAGGCCUAACACAUGCAAGUCGAACGGUAACAGGAAGCAGCUUGCUGCUUUGCUGACGAGUGGCGGACGGGUGAGUAAUGUCUGGGAAACUGCCUGAUGGAGGGGGGAUAACUACUGGAAACGGUGGCUAAUACCGCAUAACGUCGCAAGACCAAAGAGGGGGACCUUCGGGCCUCUUGCCAUCAGAUGUGCCCAGAUGGGAUUAGCUUGUUGGUGAGGUAACGGCUCACCAAGGCGACGAUCCCUAGCUGGUCUGAGAGGAUGACCAGCCACACUGGAACUGAGACACGGUCCAGACUCCUACGGGAGGCAGCAGUGGGGAAUAUUGCACAAUGGGCGCAAGCCUGAUGCAGCCAUGCCGCGUGUAUGAAGAAGGCCUUCGGGUUGUAAAGUACUUUCAGCGGGGAGGAAGGUGUUGCGGUUAAUAACCGCAGCAAUUGACGUUA
rnacentral:rRNA from 1 species